rnacentral:lncRNA from 1 species
GGAUUUAGAAUAGUCCAUAAAUUUGAGGGUUCGAGAAGAUUGACUCCAAUGUUGGAAGAAGUUCUGCUGUGGGUAAAAUGCUAUCAGACAGCAUUUCAUACUACAGAGAAACCUGGCAUGAAAGGAAGAGUCAAUCAAUGUGACAAACUUCAUUGUUGUCUUAUUUUAAGAAAUUGCAGCCAGGCAUGGCGACUCAUGCCUGUAAUCUCAGCCUCCCGAGUAGCUGGGAUUACAGGCACCUGCCACCACGCCCAGCUAAUUUUUGUAUUUUUAGUAGAGACGGGAUUUCACCAUGUUGGCCAGGCUGGUCUCGAACUCCUGACCUCAAGUUAUCCGCCUGCCUUGGCCUCCCAAAGUGUUGGGAUUAUAGGCGUGAGCCACCGCACCCAGCCCUCAUGUGAACUAUUUUAACAGUGUCAACUGUUAAAAU